CACGUUUUUUCACACCUGUCUUUUUGAAGGCCUUUUCCCUAACAUUUUUCGGCGAGUGGGGUGACAAGAGCCAGUUAGCCACAAUUGGUUUGGCAGCAGAUGAGAACACUUUGGGAGUUGUUCUUGGAGGAAUAAUUGGACAAGCACUUUGUGUAGUUGCAGCUGUUCUAGGAGGAAAGACCUUAGCAUCAAGGAUUUCUGAGAGACUGGUUACAAUUUUAGGUGGAGCUCUCUUUCUGUUUUUGGUGUCAAUAGUUAUCGUUCUUCUACUACCUGAUGCUCUAUUCCCUACCUUGCUCAUUUUGAGUGCCGAAAAAACUACCUGUGCGUUGAGAUUACUCAUAGUCAAAAGGGAAAUAGGUUACCAUUCAUUUCUGUGCUGCACAAAAUUACCGGCCUUUUCUGAAUCUUGUGUGCUCUGGUCAAGUGACUGCUUGUCUUGAUGCUUUUCAAUCUCUAGCAAGAAAUUUCAAAUAUACAUGCAUGCCUGAUCCUGAGUGUGGCUUUCUGCCUUAAUCAGAUCAGAAGUGAAAAAAUAAAAAGAUCUUUACGAUUCUUAAGAAAAUGAAGUUAGCUU